rnacentral:lncRNA from 1 species
AAUCAUAGAAUUUCUCCAAAAAAAAGAAAAAAAAAGGAUAAGUUUUAUGAAUAUUCUGGAACCUAGGGUUUCCUACGGUUUUAGGAUUUCUUGGUUUUCUUUUGAAGCCAACUUAUGACAUUGUAUUAUUUAGUUUUAUCAUAUUAUUAAUCAAAUUUAGAGAUUUUUGCUAUUUUCUGGUGGAUUCCAGUCACUAAUGGAUUUCAAUUUAUCUUUCUGGGUUUAGACGUUUGUCAAUCCUUACCCGUG